rnacentral:lncRNA from 1 species
AUUGGCUCCUUCUUGUCAGUUGGAAAACCCUGUAUCUGAUCACUCUGUUUCUACUACCUUCUCUUAGAAAACUACUGCCCACUAUAAUUACCCUUAAAACAUAGUUCUCAAUGUUUUUGCUGUGAAAAGCUUUCAAAGAUACCUUAUAGACGUCGAUCUAGAAGACUUGUCAUCUUUGGUGCUCUGCUAUCAGUGAUAUCCAAUCUUCUAUUCCCAGUGUCUCUUCCACCUCCUGAUACAGAUGAACCCUGCUCAAGGCAUACAAAAUAUGUAACAGAAUGGAUGACUGAGAAAAUGAAUGGCUAUAUCUAAGCCGGGUAACCAACGUGCCAGCACAAAUUAUUUCCCAUCCGUCCUCUGCCUACUGAAUCAAAAUACAUGCAUACAUAUAUGGAUGUAUAUGUAUGUUAAAUUUUCUGAGAUGUAUUUCUUA